UCAGAUUGAACGCUGGCGGCAGGCCUAACACAUGCAAGUCGAGCGGAAACGACACUAACAAUCCUUCGGGUGCGUUAAUGGGCGUCGAGCGGCGGACGGGUGAGUAAUGCCUAGGAAAUUGCCUUGAUGUGGGGGAUAACCAUUGGAAACGAUGGCUAAUACCGCAUAAUGCCUACGGGCCAAAGAGGGGGACCUUCGGGCCUCUCGCGUCAAGAUAUGCCUAGGUGGGAUUAGCUAGUUGGUGAGGUAAUGGCUCACCAAGGCGACGAUCCCUAGCUGGUCUGAGAGGAUGAUCAGCCACACUGGAACUGAGACACGGUCCAGACUCCUACGGGAGGCAGCAGUGGGGAAUAUUGCACAAUGGGCGAAAGCCUGAUGCAGCCAUGCCGCGUGUAUGAAGAAGGCCUUCGGGUUGUAAAGUACUUUCAGUUGUGAGGAAGGGGGUAGCGUUAAUAGCGC
rnacentral:rRNA from 2 species